GCUGAGUUGGCCUGAAGCAGCAUAGUGAGGGGAGACAAGGUGGGUUGAAGUCUCUGAAAAAGAGCCUCACACAUCUCAUGUUUCUGGGCUUUUUUUGCUGAUUGUUGCUUGUUCCCUGUUCUUGGGUCCUGUGCUGGAGGGACCUUGGGUGCUUCCCCUGCCACAGGGGCCAUGGAGAGCCUUGCAUGUCAGUGGGACUGUGCCCCACGUGCGGUGCAGGGGUUUGCCUUGGUGAGCAUUGUGGAUAACAGAAAGGACUCUCCUUACUGCCCUAGGAGCCAAAGUGUCUGUGGGAUAUUUAAAGUCUUCAGUAAAGAUCUUCAGUGAGUUACCUACCAUGGGAGUCAGGAUAUCAGCAGCCUCCAAAGUCUGUAAAGGCUGGCAUGGGACAGAGCACCGUCGAGGAAGCGGUGUCAGGAACACUCACCUCUUGACACCACUGCUAAUAGGUGGUUAUUACAGCCCAUUGUGCUGAGAGCGGAGGUCUGGCUCUGACAGCUGCUCCAGUGAUAAACUGUUUUACCUCGCCUAAAAAUCAUAAGCAUCACGAAACUUUAAAAUACUCCUCUGACUUUCCUAUUUUAAAUUAAAUAUCGUUAUAAGUUUAGUAAGUUAUAAAAAGGAUAUGAUUACAUAAAACCAGCAUCACCUUGGUAAGAGAUUUAUUAUUAAAUGUGUGUCUAUAAAGUGCAACUACAGGAUGAUGUAAAAUAAGUGUGAAUGUAGAUGAACUGACUGGCUUUGAAUAUUUUUGUACACUGAGCAAAUUGUUAAUUUACAUUAGUGGGGAAUCUGGUUCAUUUAAAAAAUUCUAAUUUUAUAAUUGAUCACAGAUUGCUUGCAUUUAAUUUGUGUUGGUUUACACCUUUAUAUAGAAUAUAUUCCUUUAUUUUCUUGUUU